rnacentral:rRNA from 1 species
CCAAGCAACUAAGCGCACACGGUGGAUGCCUUGGCGGCAGAAGGCGAUGAAGGACGUGAUAGCCUGCGAUAAGCCACGGAGAGCUGGCAAUAAGCUUUGACCCGUGGAUUUCCGAAUGGGGAAACCCGGCCAGUAAUGGUCAUCCUGAUCUGAAUACAUAGGGUCAGGAAGCGAACCCGGAGAACUGAAAUAUCUAAGUACCCGGAGGAAAAGAAAUCAACCGAGAUUCCCUAAGUAGCGACGAGCGAACGGGGACUAGCCCUUAAGCCUCUUUUGUUUUAGUAGAACGGUCUGGAAAGUCCGGCCAUAGUUGGUGAUAGCCCAGUAUACGAAAAGACAAUUGAGGUGAAAUCGAGUAAGGCGAGGCACGUGAAACCUUGUCUGAAUAUGGGGGGACCAUCCUCCAAGGCUAAAUACUCUCUGCCGACCGAUAGUGAACCAGUACCGUGAGGGAAAGGCGAAAAGAACCCCGGAGAGGGGAGUGAAAUAGAACCUGAAACCGUGUGCGUACAAGCAGUCGGAGCCUGGAUUUAUCCGGGUGACGGCGUACCUUUUGUAUUAUGGGUCAGCGACUUACUUUUUGUGGCAAGCUUAACCGUUUAGGGAAGGCGAAGGGAAACCGAGUCUUAAUAGGGCGAAUAGUCGCAAGGAGUAGACCCGAAACCGAGUGAUCUAGCCAUGGGCAGGGUGAAGGUGAGGUAACACUUACUGGAGGCCCGAACCCACUAAUGUUGAAAAAUUAGGGGAUGACCUGUGGCUAGGAGUGAAAGGCUAAACAAACUCGGAGAUAGCUGGUUCUCCUCGAAAGCUAUUUAGGUAGCGCCUCGUGUCUCACUCCUGGGGGUAGAGCACUGUUAUGGCUAGGGGGUCAUACCGACUUACCAAACCAUGGCAAACUCCGAAUACCAGGAAGUGCAAUCACGGGAGACAGACGGCGGGUGCUAACGUCCGUCGUCAAAAGGGAAACAACCCAGACCGCCAGCUAAGGUCCCCAAAUCAUUGCUAAGUGGAAAACGAUGUGGGAAGGCCCAGACAGCCAGGAGGUUGGCUUAGAAGCAGCCACCCUUUAAAGAAAGCGUAAUAGCUCACUGGUCGAGUCGGCCCGCGCGGAAGAUUUAACGGGGCUAAGCAAUGUACCGAAGCUGCGGAUGCAGAUUUAUCUGCAUGGUAGAGGAGCGUUCCGUACGCCUGCGAAGGUGGAUCGAGAGGUCUGCUGGAGGUAUCGGAAGUGCGAAUGCUGACAUGAGUAACGAUAAUGCGGGUGAAAAACCCGCACGCCGAAAGCCCAAGGUUUCCUCGCGCAACGUUAAUCGGCGCAGGGUGAGUCGGCCCCUAAGGCGAGGCAGAAAUGCGUAGUCGAUGGGAAGCAGGUUAAUAUUCCUGCACCAGGUGUUACUGCGAUGGAGAGACGGAGAAGGCUAGGUGUGCCGGGCGAUGGUUGUCCCGGUCCAAGCAGGUAGGCAGGGCCCUUAGGCAAAUCCGGGGGCUCGUUAAUGUCGAGAUGUGAUGGGGAGCGUCCUUUGCGACGCGAAGAGAUUGAUGCCAUGCUUCCAGGAAAAUCUUCUAAGCUUCAGGUAACAACUGACCGUACCGUAAACCGACACAGGUAGGCAGGGUGAGAAUCCCAAGGCGCUUGAGAGAACUCGGGUGAAGGAACUAGGCAAAAUGGUACCGUAACUUCGGGAGAAGGUACGCCCCUGAUGGUGACGAGACUUGCUCUCUGAGCGGUCGGGGGUCGCAGAGACCAGGUGGCUGCGACUGUUUAUUAAAAACACAGCACUCUGCAAACACGUAAGUGGACGUAUAGGGUGUGACGCCUGCCCGGUGCCGGAAGGUUAAGUGAUGGGGUUAGCUUCGGCGAAGCUCUUGAUCGAAGCCCCGGUAAACGGCGGCCGUAACUAUAAGAUCACCGUUGUAGUUACGUAAAAAAACUUGGCUAUAUGCUGGAAACUCCGAUUGUAUCCUCCAGUACUCGCCGCAAUCAGCGGCAGUGACAAUCUGUGAGGUGCGGACAAUCAGCAGGAAAGGCUCCACGGCCCAUUGUGGAGAAUCCUCAGAGACUACACGCCAAGCCAUUUCAGUACUCAGGUCAGUAUUGAAGUGGAUGAUAUAGUCCGAUCUUUAUGGCGACAUAAAGAACCAGGCGGAAACGAUCUGGUCCAUCUUCAGCAUCAGUUUCAACGAUGUACAGAAGAUGAGUAACAACAGCAAGAACGGUCCUAAGGUAGGAUUCGCUGCCUUAGUAAAAUCUGGCUAAAUGCUGGAAACUCCGAUUGUAUCCUCCAGUACUCGUCGCAUUCGGCGGCAGUGACAAUCUGUGAGGUGCGGACAAUCAGCAGGAAAGAGUAUUGAGGACAUUGCAUGACUUUUAAUCCUAGAAAGAUCUCCCCAUCCAUCGGCUAUUACCUUGCGGGGUUUGCCGAUGGUGAAGGAAGCUUCAAUGUGGUUUUUCGCAAACGCAAAGACUACGCCCAACCUUGGAAAGUGAGUUUGUGCUUCAACGUGUCUCAGAAAGAUCGAGUCAUAUUGGCACUGUACAAACGCCACCUCCAAUGCGGCACAUUGCGGCAACGAUCAGACGGGAUUUGGUACUACGAAGUCAACAAUUUCCGGUCGAUACAAGAAAAUGUCAUUCCUUUCUUCAAGCAGUUCGGUUUCUUGU